rnacentral:rRNA from 1 species
AGCAGCCGCGGUAAUUCCAGCUCCAAUAGCGUAUAUUAAAGUUGUUGCAGUUAAAAAGCUCGUAGUUGAAUUUCGGGUCAGUGGGUCGGUCGUGCCACUGGUAUGUACUGGCCCUACUGAUUCCUCCUUCUUGAAGAACUGUAAUGCCAUUAAUUUGGUGUUGCAGGGAAACAGGACUGUUACUUUGAAAAAUUAGAGUGUUUAAAGCAGGCAAUCGCUUGAAUACAUUAGCAUGGAAUAAUGAAAUAGGACGCUCGAUCCUAUUUUGUUGGUUUCUAGGAUUGACGUAAUGAUUAAUAGGGAUAGUUGGGGGCAUUAGUAUUCGAUUGUCAGAGGUGAAAUUCUUGGAUUUAUUGAAGACUAACUACUGCGAAAGCAUUUGCCAAGGAUGUUUUCAUUAAUCAAGAACGAAAGUUAGGGGAUCGAAGACGAUCAGAUACCGUCGUAGUCUUAACCAUAAGCUAUGCCGACUAGGGAUCGGAUGAUGUUAAUUUUAAUGA